rnacentral:rRNA from 1 species
CAUGAGGACGAGCGGCAGACCGCUCAGUAACACGUAGCUAACCUACCCUCAGGACGUGGAUACCCCCGGGAAACUGGGGCUAAUCCGCGAUAGGUGUGGAGGCCUGGAAUGGUUCCACGCCCAAAGGCACGGCGAUCAUGUUUGUCGUGUGCCUGAGGAUGGGGCUGCGGCUGAUCAGGCAGUUGGCGAGGUAACGGCUCACCAAACCUUUGACCAGUACGGGCCAUGAAAGUGGUAGCCCGGAGAUGGGCACUGAGACAGGGGCCCAGGCCCUACGGGGCGCAGCAGGCGCGAAAACUCCACAAUGUACGACAGUACGAUGGGGUUAUCUCGAGUGCAGUCCGAUAAGGGCUGCUUUUCCAUAGAGUAAUAUCCUGUGGGAAUAAGAGGGGGGCAAGACUGGUGUCAGCCGCCGCGGUAACACCAGCCCCUCGAGUGGUGGGGACUAUUAUUUGGCCUAAAGCGUCCGUAGCUGGCUGUAUCCGUCUCCCGUUAAAUCCAGCGUCCUAAGCGUUGGACCGCGGGUGAUACCAUACAGCUAGAGGGUGGGAUAGGUGGGCGGUAUUUCUGGGGUAGGGGCGAAAUCCUUUGAUCCCAGGAGGACCACCAGUGGCGAAGGCUGCCCACUAGAACACGCCUGACGGUCAGGGACGAAAGCUGGGGCAGCGAACCGGAUUAGAUACCCGGGUAGUCCCAGCUGUAAACGAUGCUAGCUAGGUGUUGGGUCGGCCACGCGCCGCCCCAGUGCCGCAGGGAAGCCGUUAAGCUAGCCGCCUGGGGAGUACGGCCGCAAGGCUGAAACUUAAAGGAAUUGGCGGGGGAGCACCACCAGGCGUGAAGCCUGCGGUUUAAUUGGAGUCAACGCCGGAAAUCUUACCAGGAUCGACAGCAGGGUGAAGGCCAGAUUGAAGGUCUUGCUAGACGAGCUGAGAGGAGGUGCAUGGCCGUCGCC